AGAGUUUGAUCCUGGCUCAGAACGAACGCUGGCGGCAGGCCUAACACAUGCAAGUCGAACGCCGUAGCAAUACGGAGUGGCAGACGGGUGAGUAACGCGUGGGAACAUACCCCUCGGUUCGGAAUAACUCAGGGAAACUUGAGCUAAUACCGGAUACGUCCGAGGUUUUAAUCGACCUUGGAGAAAGAUUUAUCGCCGGAGGAUUGGCCCGCGUCUGAUUAGCUUGUUGGUGAGGUAAUGGCUCACCAAGGCGACGAUCAGUAGCUGGUCUGAGAGGAUGAUCAGCCACAUUGGGACUGAGACACGGCCCAAACUCCUACGGGAGGCAGCAGUGGGGAAUAUUGGACAAUGGGCGAAAGCCUGAUCCAGCCAUGCCGCGUGAGUGAUGAAGGCCUUAGGGUUGUAAAGC
rnacentral:rRNA from 1 species